AUUGAACGCUGGCGGAAUGCUUUACACAUGCAAGUCGAACGGCAGCACGGGGCAACCUGGUGGCGAGUGGCGAACGGGUGAGUAAUACAUCGGAACGUGCCCAAUCGUGGGGGAUAACGUAGCGAAAGUUACGCUAAUACCGCAUACGAUCUACGGAUGAAAGCGGGGGAUCGCAAGACCUCGCGCGAUUGGAGCGGCCGAUGUCAGAUUAGGUAGUUGGUGGGGUAAAGGCUCACCAAGCCGACGAUCUGUAGCUGGUCUGAGAGGACGACCAGCCACACUGGGACUGAGACACGGCCCAGACUCCUACGGGAGGCAGCAGUGGGGAAUUUUGGACAAUGGGCGCAAGCCUGAUCCAGCCAUUCCGCGUGCAGGAUGAAGGCCUCGGUUGUAAC
rnacentral:rRNA from 1 species